AGAUUUCCGGACUUACGUCCGAAGCCUAACUUAAUCGAAAAUGGCGAUCCAAGGUUGGCUUUAUGGCAUGACCUGAAGUGCAAAGUGCAAGAUGUGAGGUCAGUUCUAGACAAAAGCAAGGAACGGUUUGAUUGGCGUCCUUACGUUAAUUGUGGUAAGUUUUAUGGAGAUACAGCAAUAUGGAUAUCAGUUGAUUUGAGUUUAGACGAUGAAUUGCUGUCGUUUGCUCAAUGCUUGAGGGCUUCGGAGCUGGUUGGACUAGAAUGUAUAGAGCAGUACCUUCC
rnacentral:lncRNA from 1 species